rnacentral:rRNA from 1 species
UACGUAGGGUGCGAGCGUUAAUCGGAAUUACUGGGCGUAAAGCGUGCGCAGGCGGUUCGUUAAGUCAGAUGUGAAAUCCCCGGGCUUAACUUGGGAAUUGCGCUCGAAACUACCUGGCUUGAGUGUGGCAGAGGAAGGUGGAAUUCCGGGUGUAGUGGUGAAAUGCGUAGAGAUCCGGAGGAACACCAGUGGCGAAGGCGACUCGCUGGGCCUAUUCUGACGCUCAGACGCGAAAGCAUGGGGAGCGAACGGG